rnacentral:rRNA from 1 species
GACAGAGGUGCCAAGCGUUAGGCGGAAUCACUGAGCUUAAAGCGUGUGUAGGCGGAUUCCUAAGUACCUUGUGAAAUCCCACGGCUCAACCGUGGAACUGCUCGGUAUACUGGGUAUCUUGAGCCACUUAGGGGCGACCGGAACAAAUGGUGGAGUGGUGAGAUGCGCAGAUAUCAUUUGGAACGCCAAUGGUGAAAACAGGUCGCUGGGAGUGUACUGACGCUGAGACACGAAAGCCAGGGGAGCAAACGGG